rnacentral:lncRNA from 1 species
UCGCUACUAAAGGGUAUGCUGGGUUCAUAUUUAACAAAUAGCAGAGCUAUACGAAUUCAAAAUGCAAAUGAAUAUAUCUUUAAAACAACGGACCUCCCAUCACCAUUGAUAUUUAGUACGUGAACUCAAUGCCACCGGCCAUACUAUACCACUAUUCCAUUUUUUACAUCUAGAAACAGCCAACGAUCAUAUAGAACUAUAAAUACUACAGAUGGAUAUAACGAAACUUCUUCGAGCGGAGAGUUAAGACAAGAAAAUUAAUCUAGUCUAACAGUCUCCAAUGGCUGUUCACCUAUAGCAAUAUCAAAAAAAAAGAGAAAGAAAUCCAAAAAACUCUUAGAUUUUUCAAACAUUCUUUUGUCAAGAGUAAAGGGGAAAUGCAAAGAAACUCCAUACCUCGAAUUAACGGCAUAAGUAAAACCUCGACCAAAGAGGCCUCUUUUCCUACCUCUGCUCGCAGUCGGACGCCUUAGCUCUCUCUCUCUCUCUCUCUCUCUCUCUCUCAAUACGAUCACAGCCUUAACCAAAAAAAUUAACACAUCAAGGCCGAUCCAGAGUGCGGAAUCCCACCGAAUCCCUAACAAAUCCUCUCAAACUACCAAGAAAUUUCUCUAAA